UUAUUUUGCUAAUUAGUCAAAAAUCAUUGGCUUUCCCGUGGCUUCUUCCUGCUGAGCAAUCAUUUGAUCUUGCUUAUGUUGACAAACACACACGUCACCAAUUCUGCCUCAUUUAUCGUUUGACAGGGACAGUGUUUGCUUCUUCGUGUGUAAAGAAAGGAAAACUAAGUGUAAGCAGAUACCUCAGACUCAUUUUCUUGCAAAUAAAUAAAUAAAUAAAUAAAUAAAUAAAUAAAUAAAAUACUGCAACGUGUUGUUUUCUAACAAACUGGCUUUUGUGUGCGCUGGUAAAUGACAACAUGGAUUUUAUAUCCCUUAUGAACAAACCAAAUCGGAACGUAAGCAAAAUUGGUAUACUUCAUAAUGAGAGAGGAAGCAACUGAUAACCUAGCAAAAGACUGAAAAAUCUUAUUAAAUAGUCAGAGACGUGGAAUGUUCUUUUUUCUAUUUGAAUUAAUAAUAUUGAACAUACAUUUGGCUAGAAAAAGAGAAAAAGGACUUUCUUGUCUCUAUUUGGUUAAAAUAUAAGAAAAAUGUUACAUUCUGUGUAAGACAGACUUUCAAAUUCAGUGUGACGAUCAUUUGAAAUUCCAAUCAGGCUGCUUAGAUUCUGUUGCUAAAAAAAAAGAAGAAGAAGAAGGCAGUAUCUAAAAUAAAGUAUCUAAUAACUACUUGGGGAAAAGUAUAUUUGCUUCUAUAGAAGAAUGCAUCAGAUAGAGCUUAGCAAAAUUUUGUGGUUUUGGUAGCCCUGGCCAGUUAAUAGGAUCAAAUGCUUGGUUGACUGAUUGAUUAUUUAUGCAGAAAUCACCAUUAUGAUAAGAAAAAAGAAGUCGCCUCAAAGGUUCCAAUAAGAAUUAACUCAUGAAAUGCUGACAUCUAUCCAGCCUCAGGAUCAACUAAUUUAAUAGCCAUGGCCCAUACUUCUUAGCAGCAAAUCAAAACGCACACAUAAGACACCUGGAUGUCAAAGAUAGGCGAGCGUGGAUAAAAACGAAUGCCUCCAAAUUGAGCCUGGAAACCAACUUGACAUCAAUUUGUAAAUUCAAACACCGAUACCGCGUCAGAGAGGAAGGCUUCUUCGGUUCUGCUUCUGGCAAACGCCGCAGGUCGCCUGACCUACGUGGAGUUCUACGUCGUUCUACCUUCGGACGAGUCCAUGCUCAGGCAGGCCCUGACCUGACCCCGCUCCCCGAUCUGGGCGCCCUCUGCAUGCGGGUACCCCGCGAGGCAGCCUCCCCGCCUUUCCUCUGACACCUGGUUCCAGAGGGACCCGGGAGGAGAGAAGGGGGUGGGCCUGGCGGGAAUCGCUCAGGGUCACCUCACUGCCCCCUGCGUUUGCUGAACGCCAGCAACGUACCAGCCUCCGCCGAGCUGGCAGAGAUGAAGCGGGUGUAACUCCAGGCCCCAAGGGCCUCUGGUGGGAAAGAUGGGCAAAAACCCAAAACAUCAGUCAGCAUGUGGGAGAGAUGCUAAAAAUAAAAGAAUAAAUGACCAAGUGAAAAGGCUCAGAUGAUAGGCAAG
rnacentral:lncRNA from 1 species